rnacentral:rRNA from 1 species
UACGGAGGGUGCAAACGUUGCUCGGAAUCAUUGGGCGUAAAGCGUGUGUAGGCGGCAUGUUAAGUCGGGUGUGAAAGCCCCGGGCUCAACCCGGGAAGUGCAUUCGAUACUGGCAUGCUUGAGUACGGGAGAGGGUCGCGGAAUUCCCGGUGUAGAGGUGAAAUUCGUAGAUAUCAGGAGGAACACCAAUUGCGAAGGCAGCUCGCUGGAACGUAACUGACGCUGAGACGCGAAAGCGUGGGGAGCAAACAGGG